ACGAACGCUGGCGGCAGGCCUAACACAUGCAAGUCGAACGCCGUAGCAAUACGGAGUGGCAGACGGGUGAGUAACGCGUGGGAACCUUCCCAGUGGUACGGAAUAGCUCAGGGAAACCUGGGGUAAUACCGUAUACGCCCUUCGGGGGAAAGAUUUAUCGCCCAGGGAUGAGCCCGCGUAGGAUUAGCUAGUUGGUGGGGUAAAGGCCUACCAAGGCGACGAUCCUUAGCUGGUCUGAGAGGAUGAUCAGCCACACUGGGACUGAGACACGGCCCAGACUCCUACGGGAGGCAGCAGUAGGGAAUAUUGGACAAUGGGGGCAACCCUGAUCCAGCAAUGCCGCGUGAGUGAUGAAGGCCUUAGGGUUGUAAAGCUCUUUUACCCGAGAUGAUAAUGACAGUAUCGGGAGAAUAAGCCCCGGCUAACUCCGU
rnacentral:rRNA from 1 species